rnacentral:rRNA from 1 species
GGCUUAACACAUGCAAGUCGAGGGGCAGCAUGGUCUUAGCUUGCUAAGGCCGAUGGCGACCGGCGCACGGGUGAGUAACACGUAUCCAACCUGCCGUCUACUCUUGGACAGCCUUCUGAAAGGAAGAUUAAUACAAGAUGGCAUCAUGAGUCCGCAUGUUCACAUGAUUAAAGGUAUUCCGGUAGACGAUGGGGAUGCGUUCCAUUAGAUAGUAGGCGGGGUAACGGCCCACCUAGUCUUCGAUGGAUAGGGGUUCUGAGAGGAAGGUCCCCCACAUUGGAACUGAGACACGGUCCAAACUCCUACGGGAGGCAGCAGUGAGGAAUAUUGGUCAAUGGGCGAGAGCCUGAACCAGCCAAGUAGCGUGAAGGAUGACUGCCCUAUGGGUUGUAAACUUCUUUUAUAAAGGAAUAAAGUCGGGUAUGCAUACCCGUUUGCAUGUACUUUAUGAAUAAGGAUCGGCUAACUCCGUGCCAGCAGCCGCGGUAAUACGGAGGAUCCGAGCGUUAUCCGGAUUUAUUGGGUUUAAAGGGAGCGUAGAUGGAUGUUUAAGUCAGUUGUGAAAGUUUGCGGCUCAACCGUAAAAUUGCAGUUGAUACUGGAUAUCUUGAGUGCAGUUGAGGCAGGCGGAAUUCGUGGUGUAGCGGUGAAAUGCUUAGAUAUCACGAAGAACUCCGAUUGCGAAGGCAGCCUGCUAAGCUGCAACUGACAUUGAGGCUCGAAAGUGUGGGUAUCAAACAGGAUUAGAUACCCUGGUAGUCCACACGGUAAACGAUGAAUACUCGCUGUUUGCGAUAUACAGCAAGCGGCCAAGCGAAAGCGUUAAGUAUUCCACCUGGGGAGUACGCCGGCAACGGUGAAACUCAAAGGAAUUGACGGGGGCCCGCACAAGCGGAGGAACAUGUGGUUUAAUUCGAUGAUACGCGAGGAACCUUACCCGGGCUUAAAUUGCAGAUGAAUUACGGUGAAAGCCGUAAGCCGCAAGGCAUCUGUGAAGGUGCUGCAUGGUUGUCGUCAGCUCGUGCCGUGAGGUGUCGGCUUAAGUGCCAUAACGAGCGCAACCCUUGUUGUCAGUUACUAACAGGUUCCGCUGAGGACUCUGACAAGACUGCCAUCGUAAGAUGUGAGGAAGGUGGGGAUGACGUCAAAUCAGCACGGCCCUUACGUCCGGGGCUACACACGUGUUACAAUGGGGGGUACAGAGGGCCGCUACCACGCGAGUGGAUGCCAAUCCCAAAAACCUCUCUCAGUUCGGACUGGAGUCUGCAACCCGACUCCACGAAGCUGGAUUCGCUAGUAAUCGCGCAUCAGCCACGGCGCGGUGAAUACGUUCCCGGGCCUUGUACACACCGCCCGUCAAGCCAUGGGAGCCGGGGGUACCUGAAGUGCGUAACCGCGAGGAGCGCCCUAGGGUAAAACUGGUGACUGGGGCUAAGUA